GCCUGGGUGGCUCAGUCGGUUGAGCAUCCGACUUCGGCUCAGGUCAUAUCUCACGGUUUGUGAGUUCGAACCCCAUGUCGGGCU
rnacentral:tRNA from 1 species